GGGGCACUGUGCUGGGUUUGGGGACAAAAGAGAAACCUGAAACAGCCUGUGUCUCAAGGACUCAGUUUAGCCACAAGCAGUAGCAGCGUCAGAGAAACUGACCUGAAGACAAUCUAGCCAUGAUCCAGGCACUUUGAGAGCCUAAACAGUUGUCGGUGUCUAAAUGGCCUCUUCCUGCUAAUGCAACCGUCUACUAAACUACUCUCGCUUCUAACUUUGGGGAGUCAGAGGAAACCCCAGUCAGUUGCCGUCCGUCCUCGCUCGCUAACCUGCUCACUUGUCCUUCUCCGGUGAGCCUCCCUCACUCCUGCUGCUUCCCCCUCGACUCCUGGUGCUGUUCUUCUGCCUCACCACUUGCUUGCACUGUAGCCAGAGACAAGGAAAGCCUCCUCUGGUUGGCACUUCAGCUCGUCCCAAUGAGACCUGCUGCACAUUUGAAUCUAUAAGUCACUUGGCUCAAAGGUGCCCUGUAGUCCCAGGACCGGUGCUGGUAAGGCUUAAGUACUUCUAGAUUGUGCUGCUUGUCUCCUGAGGAGGAACAGCGGCCCCACCACUGAGUGUUUAACGUGCCUGUCGACUUUCAGACCCUAGACUGGAGCUGGUUACAGAUGGAGGAUGAAGAAAGGUGUGGCCUGGAGCAGGCCUGUGACUGAGGUGCCCGUGAACUGGCCCGCGGCUCGGCAUGUGAGGAUGCUCUGGUACCUCCAGGGGGACAUCCCGCUCUCCUGGCAGCUGCGAUCCUUGCCCACAGCAGCCUGUGCUGGCCCAGUCUACACACUGGACGUCCUCCACCACAGAAGCACAACAAUGUCAGUUACAAGCCCGUGCGGCAACAAGACUGCAGUGCUGCUACACAAAGAGCUUACGACAGACGUCUACCUUGAGUGUUUCCAGACAGCAGCCAGCCUGUCCCCUUUGGACUGCUGCGGGGGAGGGAGCCCUGCCCUCCUCGCCUUUCAGCUGGGGUGUCAUCUGGAUCCAGCUUCCUUAGACAUUUAAUCAGAAGCCUGAUGAUUCUACGUCUUUCUUCCUCUUCACUUCCCCCUGGUAAAUGUUUCUACCUUCUGUGCCGGUCGU
rnacentral:lncRNA from 1 species